AGGGCCAACCAACGAGCGCUUACAGGUCGCAAUGGUGGGUAGUGUAUGGGGCUUUGGUGACAAGACUGAUGGCACUGUGAUAGACUGCAUCCAGUUUGUUGAGUAGAGUGUUGGAGGCUAUUUUAUAGAUGACAUCACCGAAGUCGAGGAUCGGUAGGAUGGUCAGUUUUGAGGGUAUGUUUGGCAGCAUGAGUGAAGGAUGCUUUGUUGCGAUAUAGGAAGCCGAUUCUAGAUUUAAUUUUGGAUACUAACAUACAACAUACUUAAUGCGUAUAUAUGAUGUAGUUGAGGACUUGGUGGACUGUAUAUUCUUAAGGGUUAGGUUAUACUUAGCACUAUGUGUUCUCUCCUAGGUGCUUGUAAGGGCACAGGUGACAGACCGGUAGGAUUCCAGUUGUUGUUUAAUGACGCUGAUUCACAUAGAGCAGUAAUGGCACAGUGUUAUGGCCUGACGAUUGUGUUAACCAAGAGUUUGUGGUUCUGAAAAGGGGGAAAUUAAAUACAAUAGUAAAUGCCUACUUUUGUAAUGCAACUUUAGGUAUUAGUACACGUUAAUAAGCGAUAAAAUUCAUCAGGAGGCAAUGUCAAUUCUAUAGGUGUCUGUCUCGAAAAAAUGUCUGGAGAGAGCUCGACCAAAACAUCCGGUCGGAGACCGGAGGGAAUCGGUUCCCUUGAUUCGGUUAGACCAAGAAUCAAAGCUGAAUCAAAUGACAAGACUCUAGACAACUUGUGGAAGCUGUAGACACUGCAACCUCGGCCUCAUUUAAUUCGGUUCACUUUGAACAAUUCCUUGAAGUCGCGCAUGGAUAUUUAUUUCCAUUUUCAGUGAUCAGAUUUUCCUGCACUUUUCGAUGAAACGCACGUUCUGUUAUAUAUAUAUAUGCCAUUUAGCAGACGCUUUUAUCCAAAGCGACUUACAGUCAUGUGUGCAUACAUUCUAGUAUGGGUGGUCCCGGGAAUCGAACCCACUACCCUGGCGUUACAAGCGCCAUGCUCUACCAACUGAGCUACAGAAGGACCACAGCCGUGAUAGUCACAGCCGUGAUUUAACCAGUUUUAUAAACGUCUGAGUGUUUUCUAUCCACACAUACUAAUCAUAUGCAUAUACUAUAUUCCUGGCCUGAGUAGCAGGGCGCUGAAAUGUUGCGCGAUUUUUAACAGAAUGUUCGAAAAAGUAGAGAGUCGACUUAACAGGUUAAUCAGGCUGUUGAUUGUGGCCAGUGGAAUGUUGUCCCACUCCUCUUCAAUGGCUGUGUGAUGUUGCUGGAUAUUGGCAGGAACUGGAUCAUGCUGUCGUACUUGUCAAUCCAGAGCAUCCCAAACAUGCUCAAUGGAUGACAUGUCUGGUGAGUAUGCAGGGCAUGGAAGAACUGGGACAUUUUCAGCUUCCAGGAAUUGUGUACAGAUUAUGGCAAUAUGGGGCAGUGCAUUGUCAUGCUGAAACAUGAGGGGAUGGCGGCGGAUGAAUGGCACGACAAUGGGCCUCAGGAUCUCAUCACGGUAUCUCUGUGCAUUCAAAUUGUCAUCGAUUAAAUGCAAUUGUGUUUGUUGUCCAUAGUUUAUGCCUGUCCAUACCAUAAUCCCACCGCCAUCAUGGGGCACUCUGGUCACAACGUUGACAUCAGCAAACUGCUCGCCCACACGACGCCACACGACUUCUGCCAUCUGCCCGGUACACUUGAAACCGGGAUUAAUCCGUUGAAGACCACACUUUUCCUCCAGUGUGCCAGUGGCCUUUGAAGAGGAACAUUUUCCCACUGAAGUUGGUUACGACGCUGAAAUGCAGUCAAGUCAAGACCCUUGUGAGGAUGACAAGCACGUAGAUGAGCUUCUCUGAGACGGUUUCUGACAGAAAUUCUUUGGUUGUGCAAACCCACAGUUUCAUCAGCUGUCUGAGUGGCUGGUCUCAGACGAUCCCUCAAGUGAAGAAGCCGGAUGUGAAGGUCCUGGGCUGGCGUGGUUACACGUGGUCUGUGGUUGUGAGGUCAGUUGGACUUGCUGCCAAUUUAUCUAAAACGAUGGCUUAAUUUAGCAUUAAAUCAUCCUGCAACAGCUUUGGUGGGCAAUCCUGCAGUCAGCAUGCCAAUUGCACGCUCCCUCAAAACUUGAGACAUCUAUGGCAUUGUAUUGAGCGGCAUUGUAUUGGGGCGGCAGCGUAGCCUAGUGGUUAGAGCGUUGGACUAGUAACCGGAAGGUUGUGAGUUCAAACCCCUGAGCUGACAAGGUACAAAUCUGUCAUUCUGCCCCUGAACAGGCAGUUAACCCACUGUCAUUGAAAAUAAGAAUAUGUUCUUAACUGACUUGCCUGGUUAAAUAAAGGUAAAAUAAAAAAUUGAGGUGUGCACUGUCAUCCACGCCCCCGGACUUUGAGAUGCUCCGACAUGACAUGCAUCAAGCACACCCAUCUUAUUAGUGGUGGUGAGAUAACAUACAUUUGUCAGACUAAUUUGUAAUUGACUGUCAUAGCCAAACAUUAAAAGUAUGUGAUUGUUUAGUUGAGAAGACUGUUAAAAUGUUUUUCAAUUGAUUGCCAUAGCCCCAAAUAAAAAAGUCUACAUCAUUUGUUUCACAUGGUUGGGGUCCCAAACAUUUUCAGAUAUAAAAAUGGGGUUGUGAGGAAAACAGUUUGGGAACCCCUAGGCUAAAUAUUAAUUCACAUGAUGCAAAGCAAACAUGCCCACAAUUACAUUAUGGCAUGAAGGCUGGCAAAAUAGUAGCCUAGUCUACAAUAUCCCCAAAAAUAUGACAAACAAACUGUCAGCCCCGCAAGGAGGAGGAAGGGGUCUGUGAGGACAGAGGGGGAGUGAUAUGUAAUUUUCAGGGACAGUGAGAGUAGAGAGAGCGAGAGCGGGCACACAAGGAACACAGGCUUCUCUCCAACGUUGGAUUCUAGUUGUAUUUCAUUCAGCGCGUUCACUUAAAUCACAGGCAGUUGAAAGAGCUAUGAGAUGAUAUCUUUAUUGAAAGGUAAUCCAGCUCUGAAUGAAAACCAAACAGAAUGAAGACUGACCCUGGACAUAGCAAAGGAAAGCACAAUGUGGCGAGAAGACAUAGCAGAAUCCAAGUAGAGGAACAAAAAUCUCUAGAGAAUUCUUUGUUGAAAUUAGUUGACUAACAUACCAACAUACCAACUCCACUAUGACCACCCCAACGGUGCUUCUUCUAGUUUUGGUUUGUAUGUGGGAGGAGCACAGAGGUGAGAGCUCACUAAUUGUUAGUUUACUAAUUCCAGUUGAGAACAGUGAGGAAGCCCUAACAGAUGUCAGGGCUGGAGAAAACACUGUCUCUCUCACUGUGAAUCAUGGUGAGAAUGCUGAGGUUCUUAUGACUACCCACAUCCCACUGGCUCCUGGAUUAACAGAAAAGGGAAAGAAUGGCCCGGAUGAACUGGUACAGAUAUCAACCCAAACUGCCUUUACCAUUCACACCACUUGGAAUGUAAUUAUAUCCAAGAGUGAAGCUGUGGAUAAUGUUCACACUCAGUCACUGGAGACACAAGAGUCCAUGGAGGCAGAUCCCAGUGGAGACCCCAGCCAUCAUUUGAAACUCCAGACUGACUUCCAUCCAGAGUCCAGAGUUCUUCCAAACAGCAUCUCGAGCCGGGGCUUGGUGUCUCAGGCGGGGGUGGUGGGGCUAACUCUAACUUGGGAGCUGCCUCGCUCUCGUCAUAGGCGGAGUUGGCAGUGGAACCAGUUCUUUGUGAUUGAGGAGUACAGAGGACCAGAACCAGUGCUCAUCGGACGGCUGCACACAGACAUGGACAGGGGCGAUGGGCGUACUAAGUACAUAUUAGAAGGAGAGGGGGUGGGGUCUGUGUUUGUCAUCGACGGGAACACAGGAAACAUCCACGUCACCAAGGCCCUGGACCGAGAGGACAAGGACCAGUACCGCCUGAUUGCUACAGCAACCAACCGCCAGACAGGCCGCGCCCUCGAACCCUCGUCCACGUUCAUCAUCAGAGUUCAGGAUAUCAACGACAACCCACCGGUCUUCCAGAAUGAGCCCUACACCGCCACUGUGCCCGAGAUGGCCAAUAUAGGUACAUCCAUAAUCCAAGUGACAGCCACGGAUGCAGACGACCCUACGUAUGGUAACAGUGCCAGGCUGGUGUAUGCUGUGACCCAGGGCCAGCAGUAUUUCUCUGUGGAUCCUCAGACAGGUGUCCUACGUACUGCUGUAACUGACAUGGACAGGGAGAGUCAGGACACCUAUCUGGUAGUACUUGAGGCCAAAGACAUGGGGGGGCACCUGGGGGGGAUGUCAGGGACGACCACAGUCACUGUGAGGCUGAGUGAUGUCAACGACAACCCCCCUCACUUCAGAAAGAGUGCCUGGUCGUUCUCUAUCUCUGAGCUGGCAGCACCAGGUGUGGAGGUGGGUCGCCUCUCAGCAACAGAUGCUGAUCUGGGGGAUAAUGCCAUGCUGGAAUAUACCAUCCUAGACGGAGAGGAGGGAGACACAUUUAACAUCACCGGAAGAGACCAAGAAGCUGUCAUUGUACUAAACAAGUUGCUGGACUAUGAGAGUCGCAGUUCAUUCUCAUUCUCAGUGGAAGUUGUGAACCCCAUGGUGGAUGCACGGUUCCUACGGAAGGGUCCCUUUAAGGACUGUGCGACCGUAUGGGUCAUGGUCCUCAACGCAGACGAGCCCCCCCGCUUCUCCCGAUCCCGUUACCGUCUGGACGUGUCUGAGAACUGUCCUCCUGUCUGCAGCGUGGGCCGAGUAUCUGCUGUUGACCCAGACACAGGACAAAGCACAAACAUCAGGUACUCCAUUGAUCCCCAGUCUGACCUGGAGGCUCUGUUCCGUAUUACUACUGACAGCGGCCUCAUCACCACGGUGAUGGAGUUGGACCGGGAGCGUAAGCAAUGGCAUAAUAUCACUGUCAUCGCCACACAGAGAGACAAUCCAAACCUUGUGACCAGGGUUGUGGUUGCCAUAGAGACACUGGACCAGAAUGAUAAUGCACCAGAGUUGGACAGACAGUACACAACAUCUGUGUGUGACUCCAGUACCCCUGGACAGGUUGUUCAGGUGGUGAGGGCAGUGGAUAGGGACCAGGGAGGACAGGGCGUCACCAUCCACUUCAGCAUCCCUCCAGAGUUCAACACUGCUCUAAACCUCACCAUCAGGGAGAGUGGAGGUGCAACAGCCAGCCUUGUUCUCCAGUCGGCAUUGCAGCCCCUCCCUGACUUCUCCUUCUCCCUCCUCACCCUGUACGUGCCCAUUGUGCUGCGGGAUGGGGCGUCUGGCCUCACCAACACCGGGACGGUCACCGUGAACGUAUGUCCCUGUCUGAGAGGGGGCAUGCGGGCCGAGGAGCAGGGGAGACAGAGGGACAGGGGCUGGGAGAGACAGACGGUAUGUCUGCCACGGCCCUCAACCUCACCAUCACUGAUCUUCAGUAUGGUCACCCUGCUGGCCCUGCUGGCCUGUGUCACUACACUGCUAGUGGUGUGUGCUCUGUCUCUGCGGCAUCAGAAGCAAGACUCCCACUCCCCAUUUGAGGAGGAGGAUGUGAGGGAGAACAUCAUUACCUACGAUGACGAAGGGGGAGGGGAGGCAGACACUGCUGCCUUUGACAUCACCGCGCUCCAGAGCAUGCACAGAGUAGAGAGCAUGCAGGACAGCAGGAACAUAUGGUAUACCCAGCAGAAUCAAGCCAGGGACAUGACGUACAGCUGGAGCCGGACCCCACACUCUACUGCGGACCCACAGCGUCCAGGCUCAGCCCCUGUAUACGGACGCCUCUGCUACAGCAUUCACACCCUGCCUGUCCUCAGAGACAAGGGGAAAACACCGUUCCAGUCAGGUCUGCAGCUGGCCAAACCGAUGGGAACCUAUGGGCUUCCUGGCAAUCACAUGGAUAAUAACUCCCUAGUCAUCCAGAACCAGGGCACCUUUGAUCUACUGGAGCCUGAGGCGAUUCAUCUCAACUCUGCUGAGCCAUGGUUCCCCAGCAGAGAUGGACCAGAGAUCUGGGUGGCUAACAGUAGACCCACAGAAAAAGAGGGAGGCAGGGAGACCAACACUGACACCCAGCAGCAGCUGCAUCCAGAGCAGGGCCCAAUCAGAACACAGCCUGAGUCUGUACUGACAGAUGAAGCACUGGUUCUGACCUAUUCUGUCCCAAAUGGCUCAUCCUCUCAGAGUCACAGCAGCAGCAUCUCUUCAUCAGAGCAGCAGGAGAACAAUCCAGACCUCAUUCCCUCCCACACUACCACCACCACCACCACCGGAGCUUCUAGCUCUGCAGUAGAAAACACAGACACAGAUUCCUCUUCUCUCCCCAGCUCAGAGAAGAAUGAAGACGCCGUUGGUGUUAGCCAGAUAAAUACUAAUCACAUCCACACUAAUCUACUGGGGGACUCAACAUACAGCAUUGUGGGUUCACUAAACCAGGGCAGUGGAGGGAUACCUGUGACCGGGACUACUUUGUAUCCAGGCAGUGCAGAAUUCCUGAACAUGUAUGCGCUGAGUAGGAGGGACCUGACCCCACAGCUACUACCCCUCUCUGGAGGCAUGCUGGGAUACGGCAGGGGGUGGGGUUGUGAGCGGGGACUGGUGGCUGACAUGGCAGGGGGUGGGGCUAACUGUAACUCCUCCCUGCCUGUGAGGAUGGAGGAUUUCCUGAAGCACCGUCUGGACCAGGUGACCUUAGACCUAUCCCAGCCACCCUACGACUCACUGCAGACCUACGAGUUUGAGGGGGGGGACUCCCGAGCGGGGUCGCUGAGCUCACUGGAGAGCGAGGGAGAGAGAGAGGAGGAGAGGGUGAGGGAAACAGUAGACAAGUUGGACCAGAAGUUCCAAAGGCUGGUGAAGAUAAUCAAAGAGAGAGAACAAGAAAAGGAGUGUGACAGAAGGUCAGUGGAGGAGGAGACACUGGUAGGAGAUAGAAGCCAAGGUUUGGUUGUCAAUGACACAAGCAAAACAGAGUGUGGGUGAAGAAAAAGAGGUCUCAAGGUGUGAUUUUUAGAGAACCUGCGAAUCAAAGACACUGAGUAGCAGUUUGGAAAGGAGAGAGAAAUUUAAAAGCAAUACGAGGGUGUUAUGCACAACUUCAGAGAGAAAGUUCUGUUCAAUGACUAAACUUCCUGCUCAUUGGCAAUGCAGCACAGCAGAGACAUGCCAGAGGAUCCAUUCAGCACACCUCAUGAACUCACCCUUCUGUGUUUAUUAAAGAGCAUAUAAAAUCCAUCACUUUUAGACUUCUCUUGUAAAUGAUAUGAAUAAUUCACUUAGCUAAAGUUAUGAAAAAUUAACUUUCUGAAAUAUUGAUUCCCAGCCCUGAAAGCCACAUUGUUGGAAAAUAGGCCUCAUGAAAAAUGUAAUGGAAUUGUGAUAUUUAAUAUUGAUAGUUUAAUAGGGGCACUCUCACUCAGAAUACUGUGUUCCCAAAUGCAUCAUUUAAACUGAAUUGAACCAAUUUAAAAAGCACACUUUACAUGGAGUUAAUAUAAAUAUAUAGGCAUGACUGAAGAAUCUGUCCACAUGACAUCCAGUCAAAUGGAUACUGUUCUGAUGAUAACAUCUUAGUAGACACACUGUUGCAUACAGGUGCUAUGUUGCUUCACAAUCAGGAGGGAGCUCCUCUGAAUUGAAUUGUGUAGCCAACAAGCUAUGUAUUGAGUAACUCCCAGUAAUUAUAAUCACAGUAGUAAAUUCUAUGAAACACUAUGCAAUUUGCACACAUACCUGAGAUAAUAUGUCCUUGAAGGAGCCUUGUAAAAAGUGUAAUGUUUCCUACUAUAGCGACAUGAUUAUGUGCAUUUUGUAAAUAUCAACCUCUGCAAAUGUGGUGAUUAUUCAGUGGAGGAUUUCACACAAACCAAGAAAGCGUCCCUUUAUGAGUAACACUGUCAUUAUUUCAUUCACUGAAUACAAAAAAUGACACCCAUAAUUUGAAGUGAUUAAAUGGUUGGUGUUGAAUAUGUCUUGUGACAUGUUAUUUCCCCCAGAUAGUUCAGAUAUAACAUUUUGGGCAAUAUAAACCUGUUCAUUGAUUUUAGGGCUGUAGUGAUAUUCUGGUCUGCUUUCAUAUUUGCAACCCCUCCUACUACACAAGCUGGCUCUUUCUUUAAACCUGAGAUGGAACUGGGAAAACAUACACACGCAAUCUUACUGUUGACUAUACUAUGAAUAAUUUAACUGAAGAAUGAUUCAUAUGACCACCAAUCAAUAUUUCCCACCAAAAGAUCAAGAUGAUCUGAUUUGCAAACAAUAUGGCUCAUUUCUACUACUACUGCAAAAAACUCAUCGCUUUUAGAAUGAGCUAUUAAAAUGAUAACAAUGUUACUUUCGAUUACUAUGUGACGACUACAUUUAGCAUAGACCAGGAGCCUUGGUCAAACUGACAUUUGUUUGUUCCACCAGGCCUCUAUGUGAUCACCAAGGGGAAUUAAAUCUCAAUCAACCAACCAUCUUAAUGAGAAUUAGAUUUGUACUUGAUACAUUUGACAAAAAAAUCCUUAGUUCUUUGGGUAGAAAAAUUAGAUGUGGAGAUUGUCCUGGGGCUUCUAGGAAGAAUAGGCAAUGUGAAAGAGGAGUAAAUUAAAACUAUGAAUGAAUAUUCUAAGGCUAAAUUAGAGAAAAUAACAGUGCAUAAAUUAUAGAACAUGCGAGUUGAGUAUUGAACAUUAAUAUCAAAACUAAUGACAAAUUGAAUACAUAAUGAUGAUGGGGCGGCAGGGUAGCCUAGUGUUAGAGCGUUGUACUAGUAACCGGAAGGUUGCAAGUUCAAACCCCCGAGCUGACAAGGUACAAAUCUGUCAUUCUGCCCCUGAACAGGCAGUUAACCCACUGUUCCUAGGCCUUCAUUGAAAAUAAGAAUUUGUUCUUAACUGACUUGACUAGGUAAAUAAAGGUAAAAAAAUAAUAAUAAUCAUGUUUGAGCUGGACUGAUGGUUUGGUUAGCUAAACUAACACGUCUGGUUGUUUAGUUACCACAGCAACUACUGUAGCUAUCUAGUAAACUUGACAGCUACUUCAGUGGAUGAUGAACACAUUUCUACCAGCAAAUGAACAUGUUUUUAGCGGCAAAUGUGUUCAUCUAUAGCCAGGGAUAAUCAACUCGGGGCUUUAUGCGCUCUCUGGAAAAUAAUGCAACUCCGUGAAAGGUUAGUUUCUAUAGAACGCAUAGACACUUCUUGAUUAUCUCGUACUAAUUUAGUGGAAUUAAAUUAGCUCGUCUGUACAGUAUAUUUGUUCGGUAUUUUACUUAAGCUAGAGGCAGUAUGCAUUAUGAAAACAUACUUAAUUGUUUGAAACCUGAACAUUUUACUACACAUUAUGAGGCAAAAAUCUGACCAUAUCUGUGGAGGCAAUUAUUUAAUCAUUCUUUCAUUGUCCAAUAGCCAAAGGCAAAAUCCUAGUAAUAUAGCCACCCAUGCUAGUUGUUGCAUAUUAGAUCUCCCCAAUUUAAACAUUUGAAACUGAUAUUUUAAUCUGUCACAUUAAACAGCUCGCAUGUGCGGUGCGCUUUUGACAAUGGUGUUGUUUCCGCUAAUUGAAUUAUGGAACAAACAUUCGCACAUAGCCUACUGCCUUGUGCGCACUCCUGCGGUUUUAAUGUGAAUAAAUAAUAGUUUAUCAACGUUUUAAGCUAAAUGUUCUUAUAGGUUGCAUCGGACUCAUUGGUCACUUAUUCUAAUAUCUUCAAAGUGCGCAUCAGAAUUCGGUAAGAAGGACCACACACAAUUGCAUCCUGGAAUUAUGAAUUAGCAUAAUAUAGAUGUUAUUUUUGUCAUUCUGAGCACCGUGGGUGGACACCCUAAUCAGGUUACGUACACAAUGCAUAUAGGUCUGGUAAAUGUCUCAAAUGUCUGGAAAAGUAAAAUGCUGCCCGUCAAAUGUCAGGCGCCACAUUUUCAGGAAAUCCUGACACACACUCCCCUAGCCUCGCCUGCUCUGCUCUGUUGUAACUGUCAGUAAGUUUAAACAAGGUUAGUUCUGCUCAGUGUCCAACCUUAGGGAAAUCUUGACACACACACUCCCCUAGCCUCGCCUGCUCUGCUCUGUUGUAACUGUCAGUAAGUUUAAACAAGGUUAGUUCUGCUCAGUGUCCAACCUUAGGGAAAUCCUGACACACACACUCCCCUAGCCUCGCCUGCUCUGCUCUGUUGUAACUGUCAGUAAGUUUAAACAAGGUUAGUUCCGCUCAGUGUCCAACCUUAGGGAAAUCUUGACACACACACUCCCCUAGCCUCGCCUGCUCUGCUCUGUUGUAACUGUCAGUAAGUUUAAACAAGGUUAGUUCUGCUCAGUGUCCAACCUUAGGGAAAUCCUGACACACACACUCCCCUAGCCUCGCCUGCUCUGCUCUGUUGUAACUGUCAGUAAGUUUAAACAAGGUUAGUUCUGCUCAGUGUCCAACUCAGGCACGAACACAUACAUGCAUGACCACACACACACACACACACACACACACACACACACACACACACACACACACACACACACACAGAGAUAAAGAGAGCAGAGUAGCAGCCAGGAACACUGAGCCAUCAGGUUAUUAUUAUUGAAGCAGAUGUUGACCAGAGGAGCUCAACACUAAUAAACUGUAUCUUUCAAGCUAUUCAGUGGGUACAUAAGAGGGGUUAGCUGACAAUUUCCCCAAAACAAUGCGCAUGCCUUAAAGGGGGAGAAGAGGUGUUGUGAUUCUGGGUGGCCAGAUGGCUAGCAACAAUGACAAUCUAAUAUGGCUAAAAUUCGCUAUCAAGCUAACCAACAACUGUAACGAUGUAUUUGAGAGACAACAAGUGGUCAUUGUACACAUUUAUUGCAAAAUCUAAUUUCCAAAAUAUCGUUUACAUGUUGUCAACAUUCUAAGCCAACCCCUUCUGUUUUGCCCCAUAGUUUUGCACACGUCAUCCUUUUUGCUAAACAACCAACCUGUCUAUAUAUACUAUGUCUCAGUCACUCACAUUGCUUUUUUCAGCCUGGUUAGUUCAGAGAUAACAUAAAAGCUUACUAGAUAAUCCCACUGUUUGGCUUCAGCCUCAAGCUUUAUUACAUCACUGAGCAGGAUGGACAGGAGACAAUAAAAUUGUUCUGGGAGACAAGGAAUGGUUGCUAUUAAAGCGCAGUAUGGAUUUGGUUGACUCCCUGUACAGUAAAUGGAGAUCCACUAUACAGUGCAUUCGGGAAGUAUUCAGACCCCUUGACUUUUUCCACAUUUUGUUGUUACAGCCUUAUUCUAAAAUGGAUUAAAUAUGUUUUUUCCUCAUCAAUCUACACACAAUACGCCAUAAUGACAAAGUGAAAACAGGUUUUUAGACAUUUUUGCAAAUGUAUUAAACAUCAAAAACAUAAAUACCUUAUUUACAUAAGUAUUCAGACCUUUUGCUCUGAGACUCAAAAUUGAGCUCCGGUGCAUCCAAUCAUGUUUCUACAACUUGAUUGGAGUCCACCUGUGGUAAAUUCAAUUGAUUGGACAUGAUUUGGAAAGGCACACACCUGUCUAUAUAAGGUCCCACAGUUGACAGUGCAUGUCAGAGCAAAAACCAAGCCCUGAGGUCAAAGGAAUUGUCCGUAGAGCUCCGAGACAGGAUUGUGUCGAGGCACAGAUCUGGGGAAGGGUACCAAAACAUUUCUGCAGCAUUGAAGGUCCCCAAGAACACAGUUGCUGCCAUCAUUCCUAAAUGGAAGAGUGACUUUAGAGUGAUGAAUCUUGCGACGGACGAAUCUGGGUUUGGCGGACGCCAGGAGAGUGUCACCUGCUCGAAUGCAUAGUGCCAACUGUAAAGUUUGGUGGAGGAGGAAUAACGGUCUGGGGCUGUUUUUCAUUGUUCGGGCUAGGCCUCUUAGUUCCAGCGAAGGGAAACCUUAACGCUACAGGAUACAAUGAUAUUCUAGACGAUUCUGUGAUUCCAACUUUGUGGAAACAGUUUUGGGAAGACCCUUUCCUGUUUCAGCAUUACAAUGCCCCCAUGCACAAAGCGAGGUACUUACAUAAAUGGUUUGUCGAGAUCGGUGUGGAAGAACUGCACAGAGCCCUGACAUCAACCUCAUCAAACACCUUUGGGAUGAAUUGGAAUGCCAACAUGCGAGCCAGGCCUAAUCUCCCAACAUUGGUGUCCGACCUCACUAAUGCUCGUGCAAGCAAGUCCCCGCAGCAAUGUUCCAACAUCUAGUAGAAAGCCUUCCGAGAAGAGUGGAGGCUGUUAUAGCAGCAAAGGGGGACCAUCUCCAUAUUAAUGGCCAUGAUUUUGGAAUGAGAUGUUCGUCGAGCAUGUGUCUACAUACUUUUGGUCAUGUAGUGUACUUUCUCCAAAUAAUCCUUCCCUCUCUCUCA